rnacentral:antisense_RNA from 1 species
AAAGUACCUGGACUUCUAUGCCCAUGCUUCUAGCAGCCAGCCUCCUAAAAUACCUCUAGUUGAAGCCAAAGUUAGAAUCCUUCUAUGAAACUACAGGAUUAAAAUGGGAUGGUUACAUGACCCAGGCUUGACCAAUCAGAUCAUCCAAACCCUUUGCCACAGUGAUUGGUCCAGGGAUACAUGCAUGAGCCAGCUCAGGUGGCAUUGUAUUAUGCACCAAGAGUGAACCAGAUAGAGGAAGUUGCUCCUUAAGCUUGCAGGUCUGAAAGAACAGGGAAUUAUCUCUCUUCAAAGAUAAAAAGAAGUCCAGCCACUUCUUUAAUUUAUCGGAUUAUAAGGCCUAAACCACACUCAUCUUGUGGAUGACACUGGAGCUGUGACAGUCUGUUCUGUCCAGGCUGGGUGUCUUUUAUUUUUACUGGAAAUAAGAUUAUCACAGCCCUUUGAGAGCUUCUGUGUCUCAACAUCAGAAAACCAUCCUAGAUCUACACUUGUACACAACAGUCUAUGCCAGUGAGAUUCAUUCUUUUGGGAGCUCUGCUAAUAAUGCAGGAAUUGCUGGCUCUUGAUACUCUUUCCCAU